AUGAACGCUGGCGGCGUGCUUAACACAUGCAAGUCGGGCGAGAAGUUUUGAAAAGAUUCUUCUGAUGAAAUUUAAAAUGGAAAGCGGCGGACGGGUGAGUAACGCGUAGGCAACCUGCCCCAUACAAAGGGAUAGCAUUUGGAAACGAAUAUUAAUACCUUAUGAAACUUAACUAGUGCAUGCUAGGUAGGUCAAAGAUUUAUCGGUAUGGGAUGGGCCUGCGUCUGAUUAGCUAGUUGGUGAGGUAACGGCUCACCAAGGCGACGAUCAGUAGCCGACCUGAGAGGGUGAACGGCCACAUUGGAACUGAGACACGGUCCAAACUCCUACGGGAGGCAGCAGUGGGGAAUAUUGCACAAUGGGGGAAACCCUGAUGCAGCAACGCCGCGUGAACGAUGAAGGCCUUUGGGUCGUAAAGUUCUGUUCUAGGUGAUGAAAACUGACAGUAACCUAGGAGAAAGCCCCGGCUAACUCCGUG
rnacentral:rRNA from 1 species